rnacentral:miRNA from 1 species
UUGUUAAUAUAAGUAUGUCCCAUGUAAUAUGGGAAGCAUGCCAUUCUUUGAAACAUAUUUAUAUUAAAA